rnacentral:rRNA from 1 species
GAUGAACGCUGGCGGCGUGCUUAACACAUGCAAGUCGAACGAGAAGUGAAGACGGAAACCUUCGGGCGGAAGGCUUUAUUUCGAGUGGCGGACGGGGGAGUAACGCGUGGGUAACCUGCCUCAUACAGGGGGAUAACAGUUGGAAACGACUGUUAAUACCGCAUAAGACCACAGCACCGCAUGGUGCGGGUGUAAAAACUCCGGUGGUAUGAGAUGGACCCGCGUUGGAUUAUCCAGUUGUCGGGGUAACGGCCCACCAAAGCGACGAUCGAUAGCCGAUCUGAGAGGAUGGCCGGCCACAUUGAGACUGAGACACGGCACAAACUCCUACGGGAGGCAGGAGUGGGGAAUAUAGCAAAAUGGGGGGAACGAUGAUGCAGCGACGCCGGGUGAGUGAAGAAGUAUUUGGGUAUGUAAAGCUCUAUCAGCAAGGAAGAACAUGACGGUACCUGAGUAAGAAGCCCCGGCUAACUACGUG